GUGGGGAAUCUUGCGCAAUGGGCGAAAGCCUGACGCAGCCAUGCCGCGUGAAUGAUGAAGGUCUUAGGAUUGUAAAAUUCUUUCACCGGGGACGAUAAUGACGGUACCCGGAGAAGAAGCCCCGGCUAACUUCGUGCCAGCAGCCGCGGUAAUACGAAGGGGGCUAGCGUUGCGCGGAAUUACUGGGCGUAAAGGGCGCGUAGGCGGAUCGUUAAGUCAGGGGUGAAAUCCCAGAGCUCAACUCUGGAACUGCCCUUGAUACUGGCGAUCUUGAGUGUGAGAGAGGUAUGUGGAACUCCGAGUGUAGAGGUGAAAUUCGUAGAUAUUCGGAAGAACACCAGUGGCGAAGGCGACAUACUGGCUCAUUACUGACGCUGAGGCGCGAAAGCGUGGGGAGCAAACAGGAUUAGAAACCCCUGUAGUCC
rnacentral:rRNA from 1 species